GAUGAACGCUGACAGAAUGCUUAACACAUGCAAGUCAACUUGAAUUUGGGUUUUUUAACUUAGAUUUGGGUGGCGGACGGGUGAGUAACGCGUAAAGAACUUGCCUCACAGCUAGGGACAACAUUUGGAAACGAAUGCUAAUACCUGAUAUUAUGAUUAUAAGGCAUCUUAGAAUUAUGAAAGCUAUAUGCGCUGUGAGAGAGCUUUGCGUCCCAUUAGCUAGUUGGAGAGGUAACGGCUCACCAAGGCGAUGAUGGGUAGCCGGCCUGAGAGGGUGAACGGCCACAAGGGGACUGAGACACGGCCCUUACUCCUACGGGAGGCAGCAGUGGGGAAUAUUGGACAAUGGACCAAGAGUCUGAUCCAGCAAUUCUGUGUGCACGAUGAAGUUUUUCGGAAUGUAAAGUGCUUUCAGUUGGGAAGAAAAAAAUGACGGUACCAACAGAAGAAGUGACGGCUAAAUACGUG
rnacentral:rRNA from 1 species